GGGGGUGUACUGGCUUCGACGGGUUUGGAAGUCGAUUUUAAGGAGCACGUCCGGGGUGGUUACAGGACCCGGUUAUAAACUUGUGACAAACGUAUAUUCGGCAACGAACAAUACGCUCUCGCUGCUUAAUUAAAAAGUAGCCGUCGAUCAGUAAGUUGCUAGGGCUUAUUGUGAAACGUAUUAUCUUCUAGCUUACCAAAGGGUUCCUCCACCUGGGGAACUCGAGGGACACUCAAUCAGGUUGCGACCUUUGAUCAAUGGCCGUGCGGGUCAGAGGUAAGAGGAUUAUAACGGUACUAAGCGUGUAGUAGCCUUUGUCUGCCCAGGUUCGGACGCGGGUUCGAUUCCCGCCACCUCCACCA
rnacentral:tmRNA from 1 species